GACGAACGCUGGCGGAGUGCUUAAAAAAUGACAGUAAAAAGGAAAGGAAUAAUUUAAAUAGUGGAUAGAAGGUAAUAAAAUAGAGAAAAGGAGAGAAAAAAGAAAAUGAAAUACACAAAAAAUAAGUAACACACUGGGCAACAAGGUCUAAUUCCCGAUAGGACUGCAGGGUGGUGCCUGUGGUGGAAAACGAUUUUCUAGUGGUUGGGGAUGAGCUCGCGGCCUAUCAGCUUGUUGGUGGGGUAAUGGCCUACCAAGGCGGCGACGGGUAGCCGGCCUGGUGUUGUGUACGGCCACAGUGGGGUGUUUGUACGGCCCAGACUCCUACGGGAGGCAGCAGUGGGGAAUAUUGCACAAUGGGCGGAAGCCUGAUGCAGCGACGCCGCGUGGGGGAUGACGGCCGUCGGGUUGUAAACUCUGUGCGACCGCGAGGAAGCCACCUGGUUGGAAGGGUGGUGACGGUAGUGGUAGAAGAAGCACCGGCUAACUACGUG
rnacentral:rRNA from 1 species